rnacentral:rRNA from 1 species
UAUCUCUGUAGAGUCUGCAUAUCAAUAAGCGGAGGAAAAGAAACUAACUAGGAUUCCCUCAGUAACGGCGAGUGAAGCGGGAAGAGCUCAAAUUUGAAAUCUUCAAGGUUCUACCUUGACGAAUUGUAGUUUAAAGAAGUGUUUUCUGUUGGAGUUUUGGUAAAAGUUCUUUGGAAUAGGACAUCAUAGAGGGUGAGAAUCCCGUAUUUGACCAUUAUUUCCAGCUUUGUGAUAGCACUUUCAAAGAGUCGGAUUGUUUGGGAAUGCAGUCCAAAAUGGGUGGUAAAUUUCAUCUAAGCUAAAUAUUGGCGAGAGACCGAUAGCGAACAAGUACCGUGAGGGAAAGAUGAAAAGAACUUUGAAAAGAGAGUUAAACAGUACGUGAAAUUGUCAAAAGGGAAGCGUUUGACACCAGUGUUGUUUUCUCGAAAAUCAAUUAAAAAAGGCAGGAUUUUGUGUUGUAUUGACUUUAUCAGCUUUCUGCACUCUUUUCUUGUCUUUUUUAAUGCACUUUUCGUUAACAAGUCAACAUCAAUUUCUUUUGUUGUAAAAGGGUCAUUGGAAGGUGGCUUUCUUUUCGGAGAAAGUGUUUAUAGCCUUUGGCCUCUGCAAUCGGAGAGAUUGAGGUCUGCAGCGUAGAUCCUUCGGGGUUAGAUACAUUUGUGCUAUGUUAUAGCCUUUCAUAGACAACUUGUUGACUAUGAUCAGUCAUGUAGCUUACUCGCUUAUGCUAUUUUACCUACGCUUAGGAUGUUGACGAUCAGCUGAGCGCG